UACGGGGGGGACAAGCGUUGUUCGGAUUUACUGGGCGUAAAGGGCGCGUAGGCGGCCACCGCAAGUCGACUGUGAAAUCUCCGGGCUUAACCCGGAAAGGUCAGCCGAUACUGCGGGGCUAGAGUGCAGAAGGGGCAACUGGAAUUCUCGGUGUAGCGGUGAAAUGCGUAGAUAUCGAGAGGAACACCUGCGGCGAAGGCGGCAUCCUGGACUGGUACUGACGUCAUGAGCGAA
rnacentral:rRNA from 1 species